rnacentral:lncRNA from 1 species
UUUUUUUUUUUUGGCUGAAGCUUCCAAUUAUCGGAGAUGGCUAGCCGAACAAUAACCUUCGGCUCUAGGAAUGAGUUGGAACCAUCCGUAAGACACACAAGAUGAGAUACGUUGCCAAAACCCAUAGUUUCCUGAAGAUAGCCUUCAAUUAAUGGAUUGAAUAAUAAUCUAUCAUCAUGAAUUUUAAUAACUCUGGUGAUAAAAUCUCAAUAAGCUACUAGCUAGCUGAAAAUGGGUUCAAAAUUCCACGACCUUGAAAUUACAAGGUACUGAAACCUCAUUGAAGAUUUCAGAGUUUGUUGCAAACUGUACUUUCAAUGCAAAGAUCAGGGCGUUGGAAGGCAAGUGUUUCUAAUCUAUCCUAUUAUUGUGGACAGGGUCUACUUCUAGCGUAAGAAACGGUCUCCCUAGAACUGGGAUAGAGUCUCAUAAGUAUGUGUACCUUAAUUUAAAUAUAUAUAUAUAUAUAUUUUACGGAUGUAAGUCUAGAGAAAUAAGAAUAGACGACUCUUCAAUUAACGAAAUUAAAAGAUUUUGUCAUUUAGAUUUCAUGGACCAAAAAUCAAAUCAAAAUUUGAGAAUAUUAUGCAGCUUAUUGAUUUCUCACUCGGCUGUAAUGCUAGGACUGAAUGAGGAAUCUUAUUUAUCCAGUCAUAAAUGUUCCGUGAGAAUUGAUGAAUUGGAUAAUUAAUCAUCAUUAACAAACUAGUUCCCUCAUCCCUGAGAAUCUAUGGAUUGGAUAAUUAAUCGUCAUCAACAAGCUGGCUACUAGGUAAAGGUUUACGGAUUCAUUUUUCGUUGACUUUGAAAUCACUAAGUAUAUAAUAGGAGAAUAGACUGCUUCAACUCUUUUUAAUAUGUUGAUUUGUUUGUUUCAAAUAUCAACUCCAAGAAAUUACUUAAACAAGAAGAAACGGCUCAUUAUCUUGACGUAGUACUUCUGUAAAGUGUAUUUAAUUAAUUUUCAACCUGUAGCUACAUAUCAAAGCUGGAGUUUAUAUCCCAGAAUCAGAUAGCCAAAAGCAACAAGAAAUAACUUCAUACUCUCGCUUGACCAAGUACACACUUCUACCACGUCUUCAAUUUCAAUCUGUUUUUUUUUUCCGUCGCCAUAUCAAAUUAAAAGCAGCUUAGAUCUUUGUUAACACACGCUUUACAAAGCCAAAAAAGCCAACAAUUAAAUAAUCUCAUUAUUCUGAUUCUGAUCCUACAAUUUGCUAUUAAAAACUUUUUUUUUCAAUCAAACUAUAUGUUGAAUUUAUUUAGUAUUAUGAACAAUUUAAUUGAAAAAUCUAGCACGCUGCUUCAAUAUCAUAUUGCAUCUUAGUCUAAAAAUUUUCGUCCUCAAUAUCAUAUCUGAUGCAUUAUUUUUAUUUAAAAAAAUGAAAAAAAAAAACCCAUACAAGUUUUAAUAAAAAUAAGAAAAUUAUCUGGGAACCAGUAAAAUGUAGAAAGUACAUGUAACCACCAAUGAUUUUUGACCGUAGCUCUCAGCAACCUAUAGUUUGCAACUUGUAUAAGUCAACCACUGUUCUGAGAAUUCGGUUAACAUCUGUCAAUAAUAUUUUGUUAAAAGAUCAAUUUGCCUUUGAUAUUGUUUAAAUAUGUUGAAAAACAGUUUAAUUUAUCCAUUGAAGCAAGCUUCCAAAUUCGAAAAUUGAAAACAGUAGAUGUUUUUGAAGGCGAGAAAGAAAAAAAGAAAAGAAAAGGAAACUAGUUAACUUGGACAAAAAGAAAUAGAAAAAGCUUGCGCUCGGUUAGCUAGAGAAUCUGUCAAGACGACAAUUCUAUAUUAAAUGAGUAAAUCAAACUUAUUGGCUAUUAUAACUAAACUAAACUAUUCUACUAGUUUCAGAAUAUAUGUGACAGCAUCAGUUCUUAUUGUUCCCUGUCAAUGAUUUCGGUUAACUUUAACAAUUGCAAAUUGCUGCCUUCAAUGCAAAGAUUCGGUUGGAGGUCAAGUAUGUUUAAUCUAUCGUAUUAAUUUUAAUAGUUUGAUGCAUGAAAUCAUGGAGGCGUUUGUUUACCUCUAACCUUAAUUUUGAUGCUCGGAGGAAACUACUUUGGAAGCCUGAUACAACCUUCCACAUUCAGCUGGAUCAACCGGAUUAUUUACGAGAAGGGCAGCCCAUCGAUGAGUCUAAUUGUGUGCAACCCAUGAAGGAAGCCUCAUCACAAGUUGAAGUAGAAGUAGCUCGUGAGGAAGGGUAUACCGGCACAAGAGUGAGAAGACCCCCUGGGUGGUUUAAAGAUUAUGUCGUAUAGUGAAUUUGAUAGAGCUUUAUAUUUUGCUGGUUUAUGUUGCUGUCAUAUUUUCUGUUACAAAGUUAUGCUGAGUUGUAUUCUUUUAAAGGCCAACAGACAGAGGAGUAUAUGUAUAGCAUAACUAAUUCGUGCAAAAGGAAUGCAGAAUGAAUCAUUUCUUUUUAACUUUUCUCUAUUCUUCUCUCACUCUCCAUCUCUCUCCCCACUCUUGCUCAUCUUUGUGAAUUUCUUUUGGAGUCAGCCCUCACUCGAAGAGUGCCAAUUUAUCGAUACAACCUUGGUUGCAGAGAGGUGUAUCAAUGGUGCUUUCAUUGCUAUCGUUAUGACGGAUUCUGACCUUUUAAAGACGAUCCAAGAACAGUUCCAGAGCCAAACAUUGUCCUCACAUCAAACGCUACAACAAUAUAUGGCCACGGUGGAUUCUCGCCUUAAUGAUUUGCGUUCACAGAUCCAUGGGUCUUCCAAUCACUCGGGUCGGGUUCCUAAUCCACCACACCCAACCUCUUCUUCGACUGAGGUAAAUUCCAGUGGUAUUGAGCUAUCCCCUGUGCCCCGUUCUAUGAAGAUGGAGGUUCCUAAGUUUGAUGGAUCUGACCCAAACGGGUGGGUUUUUCGAAUUGAGGAAUUCUUUGAUUUCCACGGGACACCGGAAACUCUUCGUUUGCGAAUUGUUUCUUUUCAUAUGGAAGGACGAGCGGCAGCGUGGUAUCAAUGGAUGAAAAUGAACAGCUUGCUUACAACAUGGAAAGAAUUUUUGCAGAACCUUAAACAUCGUUUUGGUGCCUCCCUCUAUGACGAUCCUCAAGGAAAUUUGUCUAAGUUAUCCCAAACUACAACAGUGGCAGAAUUUCAGACCUCUUUUGAAGAUUUAAUGAAUCGCGUGACUGGAAUUUCAGAACCGCUUCUGAUAAGUUUUUUUAUCACAGGAUUGAAAUCCGAUAUUCGUCGUGAGUUGCUUUUUGUUCGACCUUCUUCUCUAAUGGAAGCCUUUGCACUAGCUCGUGCCUAUGAAGCCCGUGCUGAGGAAGCCAAACAAGGACACCGUUUUUUGCCAAAAUGGAACACCAUGUCACCUACUCAUACCACAACAUUCCCGUUACCCAAAUUUCAGCCUAACACAUAUCUCAUUGCUUCAACCCAGCCGCACCAUUCCACUGGUAUGGCCCAAACCAUAUCUCACUCCCACAAUACUUCCCCACCCCGAAACCAAACACAUUACCACCACUUCUACCCACACCCAACUUACCGAUUCGCCGCCUUACUCCAGCAGAGCUACGUGACAAGCGUGAGAAUGGAUUGUGUUAUAACUGCGAUAAAAAAUAUAGUGCUAAUCAUCGUUGUCGCAGUAAGUUUUUGCUUCUCAUGGGUACUGAUGAUAAUGAACUUCCUUCUUGUGAACAAGAGUUGCCACCGGAUCCUGUCGAAUAGGUCAUAACAGGGGAUAUUUCCAGUUUGAAUGCUUUGGCGAGUCAAAUCAAUCCCUGCUCACUCCGUUUAGUUGGCAAAGUUAGUUCUCACAGCUUUCAAGUAUUGAUCGAUUCAAGUAUUGAUCGAUAGCGGAAGUACCCACAACUUUAUCAAACCAGCAGUGGCAGAGCGUUUGGGCUUACCGAUACAGCCAACAGUAAAUUUCUGUGUUUAUAUUGGCAAUGGGGAUUUUCUAGUGUGCAAAUAUAUUUGCCCUCGAGUUGCUCUCACGAUGCAGGGAACAGUCUUCACUUUAGACCUCUUUGUUCUGCCCAUUGAGGGGCCUGAUGUGGUGUUGGGAAUACAAUGGCUGCAACUCUUGGGACGUGUCUCUCAUGAUUACUCUGCCCUCUCUAUGGAAUUUUGUUGGAAUGGGGCACCAGUGACUCUUCGCAGCGAACUAUCCACUACUCCCUCCCUAAUCACCUUUCAUCAGUUGCAAUCUCUAGUCCACAUUACUGAUAUUUAUAGUUUGUGUGCUCUGCAAUAGGUACCUGUACCCGGGGAGGAAUCGGAAAGUAAUCCCGAGAGUUCUUCCUUCGAAUUACCUCCACAUUUAACCACACCCUUUAUUGAUCUUCUACACACCUACCGCAACUUAUUUCUUCCACCUACUACCCUGCCACCACAUCGCACAAUUGAUCACAGAAUCCACCUCCUCCCCAACACCACUCCCAUAAAUGUGCACCCAUAUCGCUACCCCCAUUUCCAAAAAAAUGAGAUGGAAAAAUUUAUCCGUGAAAUGUUAGAACAAGGCAUCAUUCAACCAAGUCAAAGUCCAUUUUCGUCACCGGUCUUGUUGGUAAAAAAAAAAAAAUGGGACCUAUCGUUUCUGUGUUUAUUAUAGGGCUUUGAAAGCCGCCACCAUUAAAGAUAAAUUCCCCAUUUCGACUAUCGACGAAUUAUUCGAUGAAUUAGGCGGGGCAGCAAUCUUUAGCAAGUUAGAUUUACGGGCUGGUUACCAUCAGAUUCGCGUGCACCACCGAGACAUUUAUAAAACGGCUUUUCGCACUCAUGAGGGCCAUUACGAGUUCCUCGUCAUGCCGUUUGGGUUAACAAACGCGCCUUCUACCUUUUAAGCUACUAUGAACCAGAUUUUCGCUUCCUUUUUGCGUAAAUUUGUGAUUGUUUUUUUUUAUGACAUUUUGGUUUAUAGUGCUACAGCAGAGGAACAUUUGCGGCACCUUCAGCAAGUCUUGUGGUGCCUUCAUUUUCACCAUAUCUUUGUCAAGCUAUCCAAAUGCUUGUUUUGCCAAGACGCUAUCGAUUACCUGGGCCAUAUUGUUUCGGUCUCUGGUGUGCGAGCCGAUCCUCAAAAAAUUACAGUUAUGGUUCGUUGGCCAACUCCUCAGACUACUAAAAAACUUCGAGGUUUUUUGGGUUUGACGGGUUAUUACCGGCGGUUUAUCCGCGAAUAUGCAUCUUUAGUAGCCCCACUUACUGAUUUGCUUUGUAAAGAUGCCUUCCAGUGGACACCAGCAGCAGCUGACGCAUUUGAAGCUCUUAAGAGAGCAAUGGUGGAAGCCCAUGUGUUACGGCUACCAGAUUUUGACUCCGACUUCAUUCUUGAGAUUGACGCCUCUAAUGUGGGUAUCGGGGCUAUGCUUAUGCAAUCGGGGCAACCCAUAUCUUAUUUCAGUAAGAAAUUAGGUCCUCGACUUUGGGCUUCUUCUACUUACAUCAAGGAAUUAACCGCUAUUGUUGAAGCGGUGCACAAAUGGCGACAAUACUUAUUGGGCAGAUUUUUUGUAAUUCGAACUGACCAUAAGAGCAUUAAGGAACUUCUCCAGCAGGUAAAUCAAACUCCGGAUCAGCAAGUCUACAUCAGAAAAUUACUAGGCUAUCACUUCCGCAUUGAGUAUAAAUCAGGCUGUACCAAUCUUGCAGCCGACGCCUUAUCACGAAUUCAUGACGAGGCUGGUGAGGUAACACCAACAGUGACUGCUUCUUGUUUUUCCCUCCUUAGUCGCUCAUUGUUUGAGUUGUUAGCAACUCUAACACUAGAUAAUUCCACACUUCUGGAAAUGAUUGAUCUUCAUCAGCAGUUUGCUGCGGGGUCUCUUUCACGGGAUUAUUCGCUGCAUAAUGGGGUCUUUUUUUAUCACAAUCGUUACUAUAUGAGUCCAUCAUCAUCCUUGAAAGCAGUUCUAUUGGCUGAAUUCCACUCUACUACACUUGCAGGGCAUGUAGGCAUCAAACGCACGCUGGUCCGCUUGGCAUCUAAUUUUUUUUGGCCUAAAAUGCGUAUGGACGUUGAGCGAUUCGUGGCCGAAUGCCUUGUGUGCCAACAAACUAAAUAUUCUACUCAAGCACCAGCCGGUCCACUGCAGCCGCUUCCUAUCCCCACUUUAGUUUGGGACGAACUCACUAUGGAUUUCAUUAUUGGCCUUCUAGUUUCCCGAGGUUUCACGGUGAUAUUAGUAGUGAUUGAUCGCCUUACGAAAUCAGCACACUUUGGAUCCCUGCUCACUCAAUUUACAGCAGUGAAGACUGCUGAAUUAUUCGUGGUUAUGGUAAUAAAGCUUCAUGGAUUUCCGACUUCUAUUAUUUCCGAUCGCGACCCUGUGUUCUUGAGCACUUUUUGGAAGAAGUUAUUUGAGUUAAGUGGCACUACCCUUCGACACAGUACAGCCUAUCACCCACAAACAGAUGGGCAAUCGGAGGUUGUCAAUCGCGGCUUGGAGCAAUAUCUUCGCGCUUUCACCCAAGACAAACUACACUCAUGGGUAUCUCUACUUGGGUGGGCUGAGUUUUCCUACAAUUCUACUUAUCACAGCAGCAUCAAAAUGUCUCCUUUUCAAGCUCUUUUUGGGAGACCACCUCCAGCAAUUCCUCCUUACUCGAAGGGCUCUACUUCAAUGCAAGCUCUUGAUGAAGCAUUAAGUGAACAGGAUGCCUUACUUCGUACCUUGAAAGAGAAUUGCGUCAAGCUCAACAUGGCAUGAUUCAAAAGGCUAAUGCACAUAGACGCGAAGCUCAGUUUGCUGUUGGGGACCAGGUUCUAGUGAAGCUUCAGCCAUACCGCCAAAAUACAGUGGCAUCUCGUUCUUGUCAAAAGCUAGCUAAACGGUAUUAUGGCCCAUUUCUUGUACUCGCUCAAGUUGGCCUUGUAGCUUAUAAGCUUGCCUUGCCCAGUGGUUCCAAGAUCCAUCCAGUGUUUCACAUAUCACUUCUCAAACCCUUUCUUGGUUCUCAUACACCUGAUCACCAUUCCUUGCCAUCAACUAGUGUGGACAAUCAGCCAUUAUAUCUCCCUGCUGCAGUUUGCGCUAUUAGAACCGUGCUUAAACAAGGAACGAGAUGUCGCCAAAUUCUGGUUCAAUGGCAGGCCAGUUCGCCUGAAGAUUCUACUUGGGAAGAGUUCGACACCUUCUGUAAACUUUAUCCCGAUUUUCACCUUGAGGACAAGGUGAAUUUUGAAGCUGGAGGGGAUGAUACAACCUUCCACAUUCAGCUGGAUCAACCGGAUUAUUUACGAGAAGGGCAGCCCAUCGAUGAGUCUAAUUGUGUGCAGCCCAUGAAGGAAGCCUCGUCACAAGUUGAAGUAGAAGUAGCUCAUGAGGAAGGGUAUACCGGCACAAGAGUGAGAAGACCCCCUAGGUGGUUUAAAGACUAUGUCGUAUAGUGAAAUUGAUAGAGCUUUAUAUUUUGCUGGUUUAUGUUGCUGUCAUAUUUUCUAUUAUAAAGUUAUGCUGAGUUGUAUUCUUUUAAAGGCCAAAAGACAGAGGAGCAUAUGUAUAGCAUAGCUAAUUCGUGCAAAAGGAAUGCAGAAUGAAUCAUUUCUUUUUAACUUUUCUCUAUUCUUCUCUCACUCUCCAUCUCUCUCCCCACUCUUGCUCAUCUUUGUGAAUUUCUUUGGAGUCAGCCCUCACUCGAAGAGUGCCAAUUUAUCGAUACAGCCUUGGUUGCAGAGAGGUGUAUCAAAGCCUUAUACAAAUUUUUAGCGUCUAAGCAUGAUCUCAAAUUUAUUUGGAGUUCGGCGGCUUCUAUCCAACUAAAGAAGUUAAAAUUUCCCCAAAUCUUCUGUCUCAUAACUUUUAUGGGCCAAAAAAAUCAAAUUAGAAAUUCGAUCACAUUCCCCACCUUGUUGAUUAUAAAAGGAUAGAGAUUAUAAAAUUAAUUUAAAUCUUGCUCACUCUCUACUUCUCAUAAAAAUAAAAUAUAAAAACUACAAAAAUUAAUUGAUAAAAAAUUAUUUUUUUCCCCUUGGCAUAAAAAGGUUGCAUAUUGCUCAGAUAGCUAUUAGUUUGAACGCACAAAGAUUCAAGGGUGGAGAUUUUUUUACUUUCCAAUCCAAUGGACAGAACCCUCUAUUGUAGAAAUUUCCAUUUUCUCAUAGCAUACCGAUGAACUGACAGUGGAGAUCCUAGAAACUAAUAAGCAAGCAAGAGAAGACAAACAGAAAAGUGAAAAAAAAAAAAUCUCCUUUGAUCAUGCAUGUUAUUUUAUCAUGGCCAUUCUUAUAAUAUAAUUACAACAAAAUAAUUCUAAUAUGAAUACGAGUAAAAAGCUUUACGAGCCUGAUCACUGUAUCGAGGACAAGAAUAUUGACUUCUCGAGUGAAAGUCACACGCCAUCUAGGCACUCUUAAGGUACAUUUAAGAUUUAGGUUGGUAAAUUGUAACUUAAAAGCUGCAACACUAAAGUAUUUGGUAAACACUAACUGCUAUAACUUGUAAGCUAUGUUGAUAUGAUUUUUCACUUGUAUAAAAAAAUUAUUAUAUCUUUAAUAAUUUUGUCAAAAUUAUUAUGUAAAAUUUAUAUUUACUAUAUAUUAUUAAGUUUUGUUUGAUAGUUAUAGUUGUUUUCUACAGCAGCAGUAGCUUAAAAGGUACAACACAUCAAUCCCAAAUGAACCUUAGCAUCAUAGUUGUGCAGCUGUAGCUUCGGUUAUAGUACUUGUGUUUGGUUUGAAGAAAUGAAAGAAAAUAAGAUGAGAGAAAAGGAGGAGAGGGUAAAUAAAUAAGGAGAAAAAAAAAGAUGAAUUUUGUGUCAAAAUAAACAAUAAAAUUGAGAUUGAUUUUUUUUUUAACCUCAUUUCCUCUUGAGCAUAUAUGUUGGACUUAUAAAUUUAUGUUUGGAUGUAAAUUGUUUGAUAAAUUCCUAUUGUUGUGGUUUGGAAAUUAGGUUAAUUUGAUUUAAUAUUUAUAUAAUAAAUCACUUACAGUAUCUUUAUUAUAUUUUUAUCGAAACUUUCAUUUAAAAGUUAUAUUUAUUAUAUACUAAUAACUUUUAUUUCCUGAUGAUAGAUGCAACACUUCAAAACCAAAAUAAGAUCAUAUAUUUUUAAAACUUCUCUUAUCAGAAUAUGAAUGUUGCUUGCACGCAUUAACAAUUCCACUAGUUGCCGGUUCAUAAUUAUCACGUCAACUCUUAAAAAAAGGGCGCACUGCCGGUUCAUAAUUAUCUGCACAAAGUACAUUAUUCUAGCAUUAAAUUUUAAAUAUCUUUCAGCGCCUUUAAAAAUUAAACAUUCAAACUACGUAGUUAUAUUGUCAGAAGGGUAAUGCUAAGUUACAUGCAUGUACAUUACAUCCCUCUCACAUGAAUAGUAUAUGGAUACUAUUCAUGUGAGAGGGUUGUAAGGUACAUGCAUGUAACUUAGAGGGAUCCUUGUCAGAAAGCCAAAACAAUGAGACGUUCUUUUUGGUUCAUUAUCUUUCCCGGUUGCAAAGGCCAGGUUACGUAACAAUUUAAAUAAUCUGUACGCGCUUUCCGAAUUCAGAAAGUCAACAAACCUCAUCGAUUUGCCAAUUCUUUGGCAUUAAUAUUUUACUUAAUUCAAAGUAAUGUUAAUCACGCUUUCAGGCUCCAAGGAUUAGUAUAAAUAGAUCCAUCAUCUUCCUUUAAAUCAACAACUAAAGACUACUUGCAGCCAUUAAUUGUGUAAAUUUAGAUUUUAAUCACAACCAUGAUUUCUUCUUCAUCAACGUCACUCAUUGGGCUGCUAUGCUGCCUGAUAGUGUUAUUGAUUCUCCCUUUCCCUUCCCAUGCAAGUGACCCUGAUCCUUUACAAGACAUCUGUGUUGCGGAUUUGAAUGCUUCCGGCUCUAUUAAUGGUUUCCCCUGCAAACCUGAGUCAGAAGUAACUUCUGAUGAUUUCUUCACGGAUUUUUCCAAAGAAGCAGCCACUUUUGAUGUCUUUAAACGUGGAGCUACACUCGGUGAUGUUUUUGGCUUUCCAGUGGUCAAUACUCAAGGAGUUUCACUCUUCCGAAUUGACUUGGGUGUCGGUGGAAUAAACCCGCCUCAUACACACCCUCGUGGAACCGAGGCUGGUAUUGUUACUAGAGGAAAGGUGCUCGUAGGUUUAGUAACAACUAAUAAUACCUUUUUCUCAAAGGUUUUGACUCCCGGGAUGGUAUUCUUAAUUCCUAGAGCAAUGAUUCACUUCCAACUAAAUGUUGGAAAAGGGCCGGCCACAUUUAUACCUAUUUUCAAUACUCAAAAUCCUGGCGUUUCGGACUCACUCACUACUCUUUUUGACACAACACCUCCAAUUCCCGAUGAAGUGUUGACCAAAUCUUUCCGAGUAAGUGAUGAAGUGAUUAAUGUGAUCAGAGCAGCCCGGGCAUCAAAUUAAUUAGUAAUCGAUCUUGCGAGGUGGCAUCCUCGAUGCUUGAUCGGUACCCUUUAUAUUGUCUAAAGUAAUGAAUAAGAUUUAUUUUAUGCAAUUGUUAUUGAAUAAAAGCUGAGACAACCAAAUAAUUGAUUAAUAAAGUUUUUAAAAUUUUAAAUUUCUUUACUUUUUCAUGUAUUGUGUGAAUAAAGUUUGAAAUUUGCGUAUACAUUUAAAUACAGAUAAGAUCAAAAUACACCUCUGAGUUGUUUGAUUCUCAUAAAAUGCAGAAAUGUAAAAAUUUGAUAAUUAAGAGAAAUUAAGUUUAUGAAUAAUGAAAACUUUAUUGAAAAAAAAUCCGAAUGAAUAACAAUAGUGUUUUUGGACAUUUUUAUAAUAACUCUAAAUAUCACGAAUUUAUCAAAAUAGACAAAUUAGAAAGAAAUUAAAAAAAAAGAUAGGAAUCUUGAAUGUAGUUGAAAAAAUUAGAAAAUAAUUAAAAAUCACAAAACGAACAAAAAAGAAAUUGAAUUUUUAGUUUGACCACGGGAUAGAAUGGUGUAAGCAUUUUGGACUACGUACGUCUCGUUGCAAGUUUCAUAAUAGUAUAUUAUACACCCAAAACUAGUGCACGUAACUCAAUUUAUUUAUAACCAGUGGAAAGUACCCAGCUUGUUCUACGUAACUAUUUUAAGUUAUGACCAACAACAGAUACUGGUCCUGCGAACCAUGCUACAUCAAGUACCAUUUCUAACUGGAAUGCUACGCAUAUAGGAAAAAGGGUUCAAAAGUUUGAGUUUUGCAACAGUACGGGAAGCAUUACAGAUACGCUCAAGAAUGUUUUUACAAUCUCAAAAGUCUCCCGGUUGAUAUGAUGUCCAUUUCUUUUGUUGAUGUGGAUGCUAACCGAGAGACUCUCAGAGUUUUUUCAAAUACAAUUGUCCAUUUCUUAGAAGAUUUAAGUGCGAGGAGAUCUGACUUAAACAUCAAUCCGAUUGACGCACCUAGAGAUUGAUAGUUGCAAUUCAAUUGAAGAAAUUGAAAUUUCUGCCCAAAAAUCUUUUGUCAAAUAACUAUCGUGGAUUGGAAAUCAAGUUCAGGGUUGACAAUGCUCCCUUGGUUUUUUAUGUAUCCCUGGUAGGACAGUUGAUGGUCAGGAGAAAUCUUAUUAACCCUUUCAGAAACUUUCUCCCACAGCUCGAGAAUCUGCAAUCAAACUUAACGGAACCGGUUUGUAAUUUAAUAUUUUAAGCCAAUUUUCACAUUAACAAGUACCAAGUGAAUUGCAACAAUUUAUGGAAAUGGGUGGGAAGCGUUAUGAUUUGCUCAAGAAUGUUUAACAAUCUUUUAAAGUCCCCUGGUUUAUCUAACAACAUCAAGUCUUUGAAGUCUAUUUCUUUUGUCGAUGUGGAUGAUAACAGAUAAGACUCUCGAGUUUUUUAUGUACAGUUGCCCACUUCUUAAGAGAUUGAGUGUGAGGCAUUCUCCAUAUUUAUCUGGCUUAAAAGUUGUUGGUUCGUCAAUCCGACUGACGAACCCAGAGCUUUUCCAUUCAAGAAGCUGAAACUGCUGGUCCAAUUCUUUUGUCAUUGAAAUUCUACGGAUUAGAAAUUAAGGAUUGAGAAUUCUCCCCAGCUUCUUAAUUUGUCCAUUGGCGGCCUACCAAGCCUCAUUCAAGGAAUGUUAUUGAACCAAUUCAAAACUAUCUUCCUUAACUGGAGACUCCUGAGUUGCAGUUUUACUCGACUGCGGUCUGUACUUCAAAUUUUAGGAGGUGUGUGAUCUUGUGUAACUUUGCUUCUUAUGAUCAGUUACCUAUAAACAAAGGAACUUGACAUUAUGCCUCUUUAGACUGACUUAUUAGGGAAAACCUUGCUGCAUUGACUUGCACGAUAAAAGUAUGCCCCGUUCUGCAGAAGCUUACGUUGAAGGUACCGUUUAUUUUAUCACCUGUGAAUUUGGAUUACAUGGUCUUAUCUCAAAUAUGGAUACAAUGAUGGUUGUGAUAUUAUUUUCAUACUUAAUUUAGAGAGUGCAGUGCUCAUGUUGAAGUAGUAAAGUUGUACACUAUCAUGUUACAGCGAUACUGUAUGUAGAACUCUAAUAUUUUUGUUGUAUCUUCUUCGAUGAUUAGUAAUGUCCUUCUGCUAGCGGUUUGUUGCAGUACUUGUCAAAUAGAGGCGAUCCAUAAGAGAGUGUUGGCAUAGAUAAUUCUAGGAUUUAGUCUAAUGAUUCUACGUGAAGCCUCCGAUAUAAUGCGUUGGAAAAGGCAACUCAAGGGGUUGAACAAUUGGUUAAUUUUCUUCAGAACUUUUAUCAUUGAAAUUUUCAAUUUAAGAGUAUAAUGAUGCAAAUGAUAAUAGAAAAUUCAGUUCCCUUUCUCGAGCUCUAAGCCUGCCAUACUGUCAUGCUGUGUGAUGAGAGUCUAAAAUAUGGUUCAUUCUACAUACCAUAAACUUGUACUUGAUCCCCAUUAUGUUUUACAUUGAAGAGCAUUGGAUAUUUCUGUGACGGGGGAAAAAAGACAACAUAAACCUGUACUCGAAAUUUCUAACUAACAGCUAUUGAAAAAGAAAAGCAAGCUGAGGUAUAAAUUUGUGGAUGUAACCGAUGUCCAAUUUCAUUCUACCACAGCCAUUAUUGUGUAAAUUACAAAAAUAUGAUGUGUAUGAGAAUGUUUCGCCAGAAGGGAAAAAUUUAAGAGCAAGGAAAAAAUGAAAGAAUAUGGAAAGGGCAAAUGGAGGGAGAGCCUAGAUACAACUAACCAAAGAAUGUACAAUAAAUGAAUAAUGGCUUUGACUGCAAAAUUUGUUCCUCUGGUUCUUCAUCCUUGAGCUGGUCACUGAACAUCACUACCAUUCAUCAUCUAAUGUUGCAGCACUGAGCCUUUCCCAGCGUUUGCAAUUUGUUCCACAAGCAGAUCAUUUGCCUUGGAGACUGAUAAUGAGCCGUAUAAUAACCUUCUAUGCAACCAAACUGGCAAAACUUCAAGCUGUGUACAUACUUUACGGGUUUCGUGCUGUUGAACUGCUCUACCCACAUUCCCAUACUCACAUCUUCCAUCUUGAACAACUGCACAAAUUUAAAGAUUAUUGAAAACUUUAGCGAAGACAAGCAACCACCAUGACCUUCAUACACACACAAAUCAUACUCACUCUUAAUUUAUGGCUCUCAAACUCAGAUACUAUGGACUUCGCUAUGUCAGAUGACAAAAUGUAGCCUGGUCCAUUGGCGUAGGGUGGAUAAUCUUCCUCUGGCCACUCCUGAAACCACCAGCAAUUAAGGAAGAAAGAGUGAAGAAUAUCAAACAUCCAAAUUGACUAUCAUGUAGAUAAUAAUUUAAAAAAAAAAAUUGCGAAAGGACAGAGUAAUACAAAAACAUUGACAGAGACUUAAACUCUGCAGGAAUGAAAGAUGAAGCUUCAUAAAUUAUUUAUACAAAGAAAUCUAAAAACAUUUCAGAUAACAAAUUUCUAGAAUAGUUGAGUUAUGCACAAUCGAAACAAUUUCUUGCAGGACUGAAAGAUGAAACUUCAUAAAUUAUUUAUUAAAAGAGAAAAAAUUCUUGAAACAUUUCAGACAACAAAUUUGUAGAAUAAUUGAGCUAUGCACAAUCGAAACAAAUUCUUCUUCUUAAAAAAAAAAUUAUUAUUGUCCAUCAAUUUCAAAAAAUUCAGUUAAAUUAUAUUAAAUCCGACUGCCAGGGCAGAUAGACAGAGAGAAAGAGAACUAAACUAUGUUGCUUCAAAUUGAAAUGCAAGUUUUUCUCUUUUUCUUUUUUUGAAAGGAAAUUGAAGAUGCAAGUUGAUGAGAUAAAAACUAGAAAAUCAACAUGUCCAUCCAUACCUCGUAUGUCACAGCCCAUUUACCAUGCCGAAGGGGCUUAUGGCGGUAGUUGAUGUUUCCAACGUACAAGCUAUUGCCCUCAGGUACAUUCUUCACUUCAUUAACAACUGCAUCUAAUCUUAUAAAUGUGUCAUCAUCACACUUCAUUAUAUACUUUGCAGACAGCGUACGAGCCUGUAAACAUCCAAACUCAUCAAAUGUCAUCUCUUGGACUAACACUUAUCCUUCAGCUUGUAAUAAUUAUAAUUUGACAACUCACCCCAUAUUCACAGAUGGCAACGGUUUUCAACACAACAAGGUCAUAGUUAUCCAAGUAAGGAACAAGCACAAUGUCACCGAAAAAUUCUGCUUCUUUCUUUAACUCCACAUUCACUUCUUUCCUUGCAUGCUGUUCAUUAAAAAACGAAAAUGUAUUUAAUGACCUUCUACCUAGUGUUUACAUGCUAACAAAUAACCAAUAAUCAAUCAUCUAAGGAGCAUGAUUUUAUUAUUACCAGUGCAACAAAGAAUCGAGCCACCACAUUUGAAGAUUGAACAAACUUAUGCUGCAUCCAAGACUUCCUCACAGCCAUCCGCUCAGCAAAAUGGUUUCCUGCAGAAAGUAUACCGAUAAAAAGUUCCACGGGCCCCUCAGGAAGAGGUGGAGCCUGCCAUCUGCUUGACAUCUCAAGAUGUGUUUGAGGACCAGAACUAGGAUGUGUUGUAGGCAAAGAAGCAGCAAAUAUGUCACGGACAUCAACGUCCCCACUCACAGUUAAGCCAGUGGCAUCCUCAAGAGUAAAUCCCUAUAGCAAGCAUCAGACAAACUUUAUGAGCCAUCAAUAGUGAUCAUGAGACUAAAGCAUUGUGUUAUAUUACUUACAGUGCGAUAAGGAAAGGAUGUAACAUGCUUCCCGUCAACGCUAACAUGAUACCCCUCUAAACCAGCACGAAGAGUCAGAACAAACAACUUGCGCUCCUCAAAUGGGAAAGGUGAUGACCAGUCAGUGGUCACCUUUUCUGUAUCAGAUCCAAGCCGCUUCAGUAGCCACCAUUUAUUUUUAGCCUGUUCUGGGUGAUUUUCGUCAUCAUGGAUCCAUUUCUCACACUUCAACUUGCCAUCAACUGCAGUGAGUCCAAAAAAAUUACCCAAUUUGGUUGUCCAAAAAAUGACCAAAAACUAGCAAGAAAAACAAUUAUUCAAAAUAUAUAAUUAAUCAAUAUGAGCAAGCAACUCCAAAUUGGUUCUGAUCUCUGCUUGAAGAGAAAAGCAAUAAAAAACAUUCAUGUUCGUUGAUAAAAUGGUUACAUGAGCAGGCCACAUCUUAGAGAAGUGCAAGUUACCCAUGCCUAAUCCCUACAAGGGUGAUUUGACAAGGUUGAUCUCAGCAUAACAUGAAUUUGCAAACACAACCCAAAAGUAUAAAAUAGAAAAACGAUGAAAUAUCAAAUUAAUUUUCCCCCCUUGAAGAGAAAAAUAAAUUAAAAAAUCAAUCCAUAUUAAAUAAUAAUUAUAGGACUUCAGAAUUUGAGGCAGUGACAUGCAAAGACAGAAUUAAAUGUUUCUCUAACCCAUUAUACACAGAAAUGCACUAAACCACAUGCAUAUAAAAGAGAAGCAUGCCAUCGAUUUGCAGUAUCAGGUUCUACCCCCUCAUACCUUAUAAUACUAUGGAAACAUAAGAAUUACCAAAACACACCCUAACAGCUACCCAUUAAACCGCACAGCAGAUUAAUUCCACCCGUUGAUUUAACUUCAACAACAACAACAACAACAAUAUCUAUCACAGCUCUCACCAAUAUUUAUUCUUUUCACCAAUACAAUCACUCAAAAAUCAAUCAGCCCAGAAGUUGCAAGUCCUUUGCUAACAUCAUUCAUUAAUCAAAUAUAAACUUCUAAGAAAAUAUAAAACCUGAACAACAAUGACAACUUACCAGUCUCCUCAUCAGGCCUGGACGGCCGGCCCUGGCACCGCAAGGCAGUCCCCCACUGCAUCCUAUAACAGGUAUUCUGCUCAAUCACAGGCUGACCACUAAAAUCCCCUUUCAACCUUGGAUUAAAAUGCAAAAUUCUCGGUGGCUCCUCCCCUUCCACUGUUUUCAACCCACGCAGCUCCAUCAUGAACUGAGAAACCAUGGUUUCCUGCCCAUCAUUCAAAACUGAAAUCUUUGGAUUCUUCUCGGCGUGUGCUGCCCUUGGCACACCCACUAUCGUUAUAUGUGACCCCAGUGUAAGCCCACACGGUAAAAUCAUCAAAUUUUUAUUAUUCAAAAACUCCGACCCAGAUAAAAUUAUCGAGUGAGGACACGAUUCUGACAAAUUUUCUUUCUUUUUUGUAUCAAUUUGUAUGUUCCCUGAUUCAAGUUCCUCCCACAACUUUGUCCCCACUUCAAAAGCCGUUUUGGCCGCCUUAUGUAACUGUAAAACCCCAGAUUCACUACCGGGUGUGAAAGUCUUAGCAUCCAAAGAAAUGUUUGAAAGCAGUUGGCUUUUGCUAUUUGACCCGGCGGUGGGGGUGAGUUGAGACUGAGUCGGUGAGUCCGAGUCUUGCGAUGAAACCCAUUGCUUUAAAGGACGAGAUGGAGCUUUCACUUGCAAAUGACCCUCUUCGAUUCUCCUGAGUCUAUCAUAAUGUUGAGUAAUUACAGGUUCUUGAGAAAUUGAACUGAACCCAGUUGUGAAAACAAACGGAACUUGUAAACCAAUCAAAAAUAUCAAAUACAGAACACCAAUAAAGAUCAAAAUUUGAAUCCAUCUUUGCCUGCUGAGUGAUACAACCAUUUCAAAGUUUCCUCCUUUCUCUGAUUUCGAAAGUAGCUUCAGUUUCCUCAUUACAAAAGAUACAUAAAAUACCGAAACACAAAGACAGAGAUGGUCACGUGUUUGUUUAAUGGAAGACAAAGAUGGUGAAGUGUUUGUUUAGGAAUUUGAUUAUGAGUAGAGGUUUAAUGGGUGCCAAAUAGUGAAGAGAGUUAGGUGAUCAAAACUCAAACCCAAAACAACACCUUGUGGUUGUGGAGAGAAGAUGAAAAUGUCGGUCCAUAAUAUGAGUUCAUUUGCGUUUUCUUUUCCUUUAAAAGGGGAUUAUUAAGAUACUGUUAUCUAAAAACGGGAAUAUAUUCCUGGUAUAAUAUAUUAAUAGAAAUAAUAGUGUAAAUAAUAAUAAUAAUAUAAUUAUGAAGAAUUUAUUAGAUAAAAUCAAUAAGAAAGAUACAAAUUCAAAACACAUAAUAAAUAUGUAUUUAAUCAAUGAAAUAAUAAAUAUGUAUUUAGAUACGUCAGUUUAUGAGAAUUUGUAGGAAAUAAAAACGCAUCAACAACUUGUUUUACCAACAAAACAAUAAAUAGAGUUAAAGUUGAAUCUUACUUCAUUUAAAACUAGAUAAUUAAUUAAUGACGUAAUGUCUAUAAAUUUCGCUGUAAUAAAAAUUAAGAUCCCUGUUUUCCUGUGAUUUCUCAAAUAAGAACAUAGUUUUCCUACUUUUAGCAAAUUGGUCAUUGACAGUGACAGACUAUUGGCAAACGAAUCCUUCAAGUGUAAAUUCAAUUGGACAGAGACAAAACAAGAACUAUAUAUUGACAAGGAAAGGGAGUUGAAACGAUCCGUGUUGAUUUGACAUUUUAGGCACAUAACUGAAUUAGAUCAAUAGGAGUAAAAAAAUAUUUAAUUUAUUUUUUUAAAUAAUUCAAUAACAAACCCCAAUAACACCCACAUAAUAGUUAUAACGACUAAAUUAAGAAAUAUUUUAUUAAUAUUAGUAAAAAAAAUUAUUUUUUGUUUUUUUUUUUUAAAAAAGACCCAAAUUCUAGUAUGGUACAUAAAUAAAUAGUAAUAGACCAAAUGAUUUGCGUGCAAAUAAAAAAUUUAUACUGAGCCCAAAAUGAAAUAAAAAUAAGCUUAAAUUUAUUAAACCAAUUUGACACAACACGCCCUAAAAUUAACAACUCUCCAUUGAGUCAUAUUAAUAAAAUAAUUGAAGCAGCCUUCAACGUUGAAUUGUCUCAGUUAAUUGUAAAAAGUGUUAUGUGGCCAGGUCAAGGGACCUAUUUGAUACAAAUGAAAAAAGCUACACCCUUUCGUGAAAGAAUCUGAAAAGUGGGUAUCAAGAUGUAUGUCACUGUCCAAUUUCCGGCCCAAAUUGGCAGAGAGAAAAAGAAGAAGACGAAGGAAUCCCAUUGGAAAAUUCGCCUCCUGGUCAGCUCUAAAUUGUCGGCUCAUAAUCUUAAGUGUCCAUUAGUGGCGCUGCCACACCCACCUUAAUUUACGGGUCUCGUUCGUUAUUUAUUUCUCGACACUGUGACACUUUCCUAUCUUUAUUUAUAGUUGUUUUUUCUGGUUACAAUAUGCAAGAUUUUACUUUAUUUCAAAAUUUGAACGCGUCAGAUUCAGAAUAACAAUAAUAAUUAUUAUUGUAAUCAAAUCUUGAAUUCUAUUUACAUCACCACUGACUAUUUGUCAAUUGUGUGAUUGUAUCUUCAAUUUUGAAGGUAAGUUAAUGAAUGAUGUGUUCCUCUUAUUAACAAAUACAUUUGACAAAUUAGCAUUAAAGAGCUGAAACAAAUUAACGUAUAGACAAAUUUUGAAAUUUUCAAGUUAUUAUUUUGUAACAAGAAUUCUUGAUUUACAUGAACCAUAUAAUCCUAUCUAAACUUCAUUAUCCGAUCGUUGAUAUUAACCUUAAACAGUGGAUGAUAAUCAUAAAAUUUUAAUUGAUUUGUGAUCCAAAAUUAUGAUGAUAAUCACAAUGUUGUGAUUUGUUAAAAUCUUAUUUCUUUUUAUAUAAAUUGUUGUUAGGAGAAGAAAGAAUUCCUAAGCAAAACAACUCUGCGUAUUUUUAGAUAAAAUUGAACACAGAUUGUACACAAUCAUGCAAUCACGUUAUUAGCUAUAAUUAUUAAUUCUCAAGUUUAUUUCCGCCCAAUUAGCUAUGAUAUAAUUGAGAAUAGCAUUAAUAAUCAACCCCACCAAGACUUUUGUAAGUUAUUUCCAGUUUCAAUUAACAUCCCCAUUACGUUUUUCUUAAUGAGAUAUUAUUAUCAUAUUGCACUACAAUCCAUUUAUGUUAUAAUUAGAAAUUUAUAAAUAUGUCGAGACUAAGUGUAGGGACCAAUUCAAAAUCUCAAAAUCUGCCACGACCUGAAGUAGGUCCAAUAAAAAAAAAAAAAAAAAAAAAAAAAGAGCAUGAAAACUUAUGAUCCCACCAACACCAAUUGAUCCACACAAUAAUGAGAGAGUGGCUUGAAAAUCUUCUUUUGCCCACAAGCAUAAUUUGUGAGAUUUAUAGUCUUUCAGUCUAUUUAAAGAGGGGUGGGGUAGAUGAGAACCAUCUAAUUAUUAACCAAAUGAUAUUUUGAAUCAAGAAUAGAAAUUUAAACCUACAAACUUUUUUUAUAAUGUCACAAGAAUAAAAGAUGAGAAAACCCAACCCCUAACCAAAUUUAUCAUAAUCUUUAGUGGUUAAUUUGGAGAGUGUGGGUCAAUUAAUUGUGAUUGUAAUUUUGGAGUUAUGCUUCAUGAGACCAUCUAGCCUAGAUGUUGUCAAUUAUUCACUCUCAACAAUGAUUAUGCCUUACAUUGUCUUCUAAUUUAUAUAUAUUAGCUUUUGUAUUAGCUUACAUUGUCUUGUACUUUUUAUAUUUUUAUCUAUUAGCUUUGUAUUAGCUGUUUGCCACAUUUUCAAUGAUCUUUCUUUUCCAUUGUGCAAUUGUUCUCAAAUCUAGCUUCAUAUGAAUGAAGAUGACGCAUAUAUUUUUUAUAUGGCAUUAAUUGAAAUUGCUUCCUCAGCUGGUAUCUUUCAUCAGCUAGCGUUCAUCGAACGGUAAUGGAAAUUUUAGACCCUUUCUUUAAACUUUUGUGGGUUUUCGAUUCAUUUAUUACGAUUAAAAUGAAAUCUUUUACCUGAUGGCAUCAUCUCCAAUAUGGUAAUUGUCUUCGGUGAAGUCAAGCAACGACCUGAAAAUGAUGUAAAAAAAAACAUUUUAAAAUAGUCGCUUCGCUUGCCAAGCACGUCCUCAACCGUGUUGACAAGUCAUUGAGGAUUAUGAUGACUCAUGAAUCACAUUUACUAGAAAGUACAAAAAUAUUGUUUUCAGCGUUCAAAGUAUUAAAAUCUUCUACGGCAUCAUUUGGUCUUUUCUUUCUUUUUUUAAUACUGAUUAAUCAUCAUAUUACUACAUUACACAGAUAUUUACAACUGCUAUUAUAGCAGAUAUAUUACACUGAUAUUUACAAUCAGAAAUACAUGAUUGGGACUUAUAUUAUUACAUUGAAUUCUGUGAAGUACAUGCCCAGAUAAAUAAUCCCUUACAGAAGAGGGAUGUCCAUACUCCACUCGUAUUGUACGAGGAAGAGGAAAUUUUUGAAAUAUUAAACAAAUAAGCACGUUAGCCCCCACAAAUGCUUUUGUGGGGGCUUGAACCGCUGCCCUCACAAUGCUUGUGAGGGCAGCAGCCCACCACUCCGACCAAGGCCGAAGUG